rnacentral:rRNA from 1 species
UGGGGAAUCUUGCACAAUGGGGGCAACCCUGAUGCAGCGACGCCGCGUGAGCGAUGAAGCCCUUCGGGGCGUAAAGCUCUUUCGACCGGAACGAUAAUGACGGUACCGGGAGAAGAAGCUGCGGCUAACUACGUGCCAGCAGCCGCGGUAAUACGUAGGCAGCAAGCGUUGUUCGGAGUUACUGGGCGUAAAGAGUGCGUAGGCGGUUUUCUAAGUUCGGUGUGAAAUCUCCCGGCUUAACUGGGAGGGUGCGCCGAAGACUGGGAAGCUGGAGUGUGGGAAAGGCAGGCGGAAUUCCUGGUGUAGCGGUGAAAUGCGUAGAUAUCAGGAGGAACACCAGUGGCGAAGGCGGCUUUCUGGACUGUAACUGACACUGAGGCACGAAAGCGUGGGGAGCAAACA